rnacentral:sRNA from 1 species
UUAGAGGAUAGGGGUUUGAUUUUGUUGGGAGAGCUGAGAUCAGGGGUUGGGUUUCUUACCUAUGUGUACAUAUGUAAAUGGUCUGUCCCUGUUUCUGUCUCUUUCUGGCUCUCACUUUCUUCCCCCACUCUUCAUCUCUGCCACUUUUUUCUCCAGAGCUUGCAUGGAGAUGGUCCCCUGCGGCUGCUGCUGCUGCCCUCUAUCCACCUUGAGGCCUUGGACCUGCUGUCUGCACUCAUCCUCGCGUGAGUGGGAUUGGGCUGGCUGUGGUGAAGGGAUAGGGCAUGCCAGAAACGAGGGUCACCAUUCCUUCUCUGCCCCAGGUGUGGAAGCCGGCUCUUGCGCUUUGGGAUCCUGAUCGGCCGCCUGCUUCCCCAGGUCCUCAAUUCCUGGAGCAUCGGUAGAGAUUCCCUCUCUCCAGGCCAGGAGAGGCCUUAUAGCACGGUUCGGACCAAGGUGUACGCGAUAUUAGAGCUGUGGGUGCAGGUUUGUGGCGCCUCGGCGGGAAUGCUUCAGGGAGGAGCCUCUGGAGAGGCCCUGCUCACCCACCUGCUCAGCGACAUCUCCCCGCCAGCUGAUGCCCUUAAGCUGCGUAGCCCGC